CAAGUACUCCCUCCAUCCCGAAUUACUUGUCAUCAAAAUGGAUGCGUCUAGAACUAAAAUACAUCUAGAUACAUCCAUUUAAAUGACAAGUAUUUUCGGACGGAGGGAGUACAAG
rfam:Triticum aestivum genome assembly, contig: Triticum_aestivum_CS42_TGACv1_scaffold_073466_1DL